rnacentral:rRNA from 1 species
GCUUGACAAAAAAGGAGGAGGAGGCUAUAACUAGCCUCCUCCGAAAGACCUGAAAAAAAGCAAGGCAGGGACAGAGGGGAGGGGGUUGACAGGAAUGAUUCUUAAGUGUAGGAUCAAACGGUUGACUCUUUCGGGGAGAAAAAAGCCCUGAAGAGAAAAAGCCUGUGGAAACGCAGGGGGAAGUCUCGGAUCAUUGACAACUAAAUAGGAGCAGCAACGUCCAAUUAAAGGGCCCUGAUCACGAAACACAGUAACAAAAUGAAUCUGGAGAGUUUGAUCCUGGCUCAGAACGAACGCUGGCGGCGUGCCUAACACAUGCAAGUCCAACGUGAAAGGGGAGCAAUCCCCCGGUAGGGUGGCAAACGGGUGAGUAAUACAUGGGUGAUCUACCUUAGGGAUGGGGAUAUCCUUCCGAAAGGAGGGGCAAU